rnacentral:tRNA from 1 species
GUCUAGAUAGCUUGGAGGGUAGCACGGUGCUUUCUAAGCGCUAGGUCGCGGGUUCGAUUCCCGCCCAGAGCA